GUUCACGUAGAGAAAUGGGUAAGUUGCAUCCUUUCCUUUCCUUCAGAAAAUACGCUAACCAAAGUUCCAGUAACUCGUUGACCUCCUAAGUCAGAGAUUGCGGGUUCGAGUCCCGUCGUGAACU